rnacentral:rRNA from 1 species
GUGUCAGCCGCCGCGGUAAUACGGGGGGGGCAAGCGUUGUUCGGAAUUACUGGGCGUAAAGGGUUUGUAGGUGGCUUGUUAAGUCAGACGUGAAAUCCCUCAGCUUAACUGGGGAACUGCGUCUGAUACUGGCGAGCUUGAGUGCAGGAGAGGAACGCGGAAUUCCAGGUGUAGCGGUGAAAUGCGUAGAUAUCUGGAGGAACACCGGUGGCGAAGGCGGCGUUCUGGACUGCAACUGACACUGAGAAACGAAAGCCAGGGUAGCAAACGGGAUUAGAUACCCUAGUAGUCC